rfam:Triticum aestivum genome assembly, contig: Triticum_aestivum_CS42_TGACv1_scaffold_288135_4AL
CUAAUACUCCCUCCAUCCCAAAAAAUUUGUCUUAGAUUUUUCUAGAUAUGGAUGUAUCUAAUGAUACAUCCGUAUCUAGACAAAUCUAAGACAAAAUUUUUGGGACGGAGCGAGUAUUAC